GAUCGAGAGCGGCAGAGGUGGAAUAUAAUGAAGUUGAGUGGGAAAGGACUGUGCACCGUCUUCUCCAGUACCCUCCUCUUCGUGUGCGCCCUGAGCGAAGUUGUCGUUGGAUUAAGAUGCGUCUCGCUGGGAUCUACGGUGAAAGCACAUUUCCACCUCGGCGCCGCGGCCGGGGCUUUCUACUCCGGGCUACUUGUGGGCAUCGGGCAGGUCCUGCUGGGUUGCGCUCUGCUCUUUUGCAUGGAGAAGCCAGGCUGCAGGAAUUUCUUUCUCCUCGGUGUUGUGGUCUUCUUGUUGGGUGUCCUCACUGCCUUCUCCGGCGCGGUGGUGGACGGGGACACGGCUUCUCUUGUGGAGAGGAAAUAUUCCCAUUACUGCUUCCACUCUGUGAUUGUGAAUCCUGCCUGCGAGCAGCUGCGGGAUUACCAGCGGAGUCUGGUCAUCUCCACUGUUCUCAGCACCUUGGAGUGCCUCCUCGGGCUCAUCAACCUGGUGAUCAUCAAAAGGUACAAAACAGCGCAGUUUUCUAGGAGCAGACAGUGUCAGAGGCAGCGCGCAGGGGCCAUCAUCUUCAGUGAGGAGCGGGACUGCUCCUCGGCGGAUUUCCAGCCGGUGUCUUACAUCAAUUUGGGUGUUUUUAAUGUGUUUGACGAGACAGGUGCAGAAGUGCAGUGCGGGGGACACCCGUCAAUGGAGCUGCCGGGGUACUCGCCCACGGACCCGGAGCUCAACCAUUGCUUCCCUUUCUCUUACCCGAUCCCCAGUGAACUGCCGCCCGCAUACGAAGACAUUUUCCCCGUUGAGGCAUGCAACACAUAGCCGCUCCGGAGCAGCCCCGACAGCGCUUCCCUCUGCUGUGACAAUCAAUGACUUAGUGCUUAAACAACCCCCUUCUUCCUCUUCUUCCUCCAACAAAAAGCAGUAAGUUACACAGGAGGACAGCAGCAGUGGAUUUACAUUCACCUGAUUCUGAUUCUGAUAUUUUCUCACAUCUGAUCCUGAUAUCUUACACUAUCGUGCACC
rnacentral:lncRNA from 1 species